GAUUGAAUNUUCGUGAUAUCGAAUCUUUGACNCCCUUGCGCUCCUCGGUAUUCCGAGGAGCAUGCCUGUUUGAGUGUCAU
rnacentral:rRNA from 1 species